rnacentral:rRNA from 1 species
UACAGAGGUCUCAAGCGUUGUUCGGAUUCAUUGGGCGUAAAGGGUGCGUAGGUGGCGCGCUAAGUCAGGUGUGAAAUUUCGGAGCUUAACUCCGAAACUGCAUUUGAUACUGGUGUGCUUGAGGACUGGAGAGGAGACUGGAAUUCAUGGUGUAGCAGUGAAAUGCGUAGAGAUCAUGAGGAAGACCAGUGGCGAAGGCGGGUCUCUGGACAGUUCCUGACGCUGAGGCACGAAGGUCAGGGGAGCAAACGGG